GAUGGACGCUGGCGGCGUGCCUAAUACAUGCAAGUCGAGCGAACAGACGAGGAGCUUGCUCCUCUGACGUUAGCGGCGGACGGGUGAGUAACACGUGGAUAACCUACCUAUAAGACUGGGAUAACUUCGGGAAACCGGAGCUAAUACCGGAUAAUAUAUUGAACCGCAUGGUUCAAUAGUGAAAGACGGUUUUGCUGUCACUUAUAGAUGGAUCCGCGCCGCAUUAGCUAGUUGGUAAGGUAACGGCUUACCAAGGCAACGAUGCGUAGCCGACCUGAGAGGGUGAUCGGCCACACUGGAACUGAGACACGGUCCAGACCCCUACGGGAGGCAGCAGUAGGGAAUCUUCCGCAAUGGGCGAAAGCCUGACGGAGCAACGCCGCGUGAGUGAUGAAGGUCUUCGGAUCGUAAAACUCUGUUAUUAGGGAAGAACAAAUGUGUAAGUAACUAUGCACGUCUUGACGGUACCUAAUCAGAAAGCCACGGCUAACUACGUG
rnacentral:rRNA from 1 species